UACGUAGGGUGCGAGCGUUUGUCCGGAAUUAUUGGGCGUAAAGAGCUCGUAGGCGGUGUGUCACGUCGGCCGUGAAAACCUGGGGCUUAACUCUGGGCGUGCGGUCGAUACGGGCAUCACUAGAGUUCGGCAGGGGAGACUGGAAGUUCCUGGUGUAGCGGUGAAAUGCGCAGAUAUCAGGAGGAACACCAAUGGCGAAGGCAGCUCGCUGGGACGGUACUGACGCUGGAGACGCGAAAGCGUGGGGAGCAAACAGG
rnacentral:rRNA from 1 species